rnacentral:rRNA from 1 species
AGAGUUUGAUCCUGGCUCAGGAUGAACGCUGGCGGUCUGCUUAACACAUGCAAGUCGAACGAACUCUUCGGAGUUAGUGGCGGACGGGUGAGUAACGCGUGAGAAUCUGCCUUGGGGUCGGGGACAACCACUGGAAACGGCGGCUAAUACCGGAUAAGCCUAAGGGUCAAAGAUUUAUUGCCCCAAGAGGAGCUCGCGUCUGAUUAGCUAGUUGGUAGGGUAAAAGCCUACCAAGGCAGCGAUCAGUAGCUGGUCUGAGAGGACGAUCAGCCACACUGGGACUGAGACACGGCCCAGACUCCUACGGGAGGCAGCAGUGGGGAAUUUUCCGCAAUGGGCGAAAGCCUGACGGAGCAAGACCGCGUGAGGGAGGAAGGCUCUUGGGUUGUAAACCUCUUUUCUCAGGGAAGAAGCUCUGACGGUACCUGAGGAAUCAGCCUCGGCUAACUCCGUGCCAGCAGCCGCGGUAAUACGGAGGAGGCAAGCGUUAUCCGGAAUUAUUGGGCGU